AGUGAACGCUGGCGGUAGGCCUAACACAUGCAAGUCGAACGGCAGCACAGUAAGAGCUUGCUCUUACGGGUGGCGAGUGGCGGACGGGAGAGGAAUACAUCGGAAUCUACUUUUUCGUGGGGGAUAACGUAGGGAAACUUACGCUAAUACCGCAUACGACCUACGGGUGAAAGCAGGGGAUCUUCGGACCUUGCGCGAUUGAAUGAGCCGAUGUCGGAUUAGCUAGUUGGCGGGGUAAAGGCCCACCAAGGCGACGAUCCGUAGCUGGUCUGAGAGGAUGAUCAGCCACACUGGAACUGAGACACGGUCCAGACUCCUACGGGAGGCAGCAGUGGGGAAUAUUGGACAAUGGGCGCAAGCCUGAUCCAGCCAUACCGCGUGGGGGAAGAAGGCCUUCGGGUUGUAAAGCCCUUUUGUUGGGAAAGAAAAGCAGCAGGUUAAUACCCCGCUGUUCUGACGGUACCCAAAGAAUAAGCACCGGCUAACUUCGUG
rnacentral:rRNA from 1 species